AGUCGAACGGCAGCACGGGUGCUUGCACCUGGUGGCGAGUGGCGAACGGGUGAGUAAUACAUCGGAACAUGUCCUGUAGUGGGGGAUAGCCCGGCGAAAGCCGGAUUAAUACCGCAUACGAUCUACGGAUGAAAGCGGGGGACCUUCGGGCCUCGCGCUAUAGGGUUGGCCGAUGGCUGAUUAGCUAGUUGGUGGGGUAAAGGCCUACCAAGGCGACGAUCAGUAGCUGGUCUGAGAGGACGACCAGCCACACUGGGACUGAGACACGGCCCAGACUCCUACGGGAGGCAGCAGUGGGGAAUUUUGGACAAUGGGCGAAAGCCUGAUCCAGCAAUGCCGCGUGUGUGAAGAAGGCCUUCGGGUUGUAAAGCACUUUUGUCCGGAAAGAAAUCCUUGGUUCUAAUAUAGCCGGGGGAUGACGGUACCGGAAGAAUAAGCACCGGCUAACUACGUGCCAGCAGCCGCGGUAAUACGUAGGGUGCGAGCGUUAAUCGGAAUUACUGGGCGUAAAGCGUGCGCAGGCGGUUUGCUAAGACCGAUGUGAAAUCCCCGGGCUCAACCUGGGAACUGCAUUGGUGACUGGCAGGCUAGAGUAUGGCAGAGGGGGGUAGAAUUCCACGUGUAGCAGUGAAAUGCGUAGAGAUGUGGAGGAA
rnacentral:rRNA from 1 species